AAAAAGGCAAACCCUGGGUAUCCGUGUCCAACUUUGACUGUCCGUCUUAUAUGAAAUUUUUUUAUAAUUCGUAUUUUUAUUGUUGUUAGAUGAUAAAACAUGAUUAAUAUUUUAUGCGUGAUUUGUCUUUUUAUUUUUUUUUCAUAAUUUUUUAAAAUAAGACGGACGGUUAAACGUUGGGCACAGAAACCAGGGUU
rnacentral:pre_miRNA from 1 species